AAGAACAUGUAACAAUAUUUGAUGGACAAAAAGUUUUCCGUAAACACAAAAUUCCUCCAAAAAAAUCAUUCGCCUCUACAUGAACACCAUCAUCAACGAAAUUCUUUCUCACAACAUUUUCAGCUUUAGAGACAUUUAUUCUAGGUUCAAGAAUAGCAACAAAAUUUAGAUUAUACAUCUUAAUAUAAUCCUUCACUAAAUUGAGGAAGUGUUUUCCAUUCACUCCUUUGUAAUUCCAAACAAAACAAUUCAUUGCAAUUUAGUAAACAACUCUCACAACAAAGGAAUCAACAAGGUGCUCACAAGGAGAAAAAUCCAACUCUCACAAAGGAGAGAGAAACAUCCAAUACUCUCACAAAGUAGAGAACAAGCAUUAAUAAUCAAUAUGCGGCGUAUAAAAUCAUGUUACCGAAACUCCAAAAACAACAUUACUAGAAUUUCAAGGAGAUUGGUUAAACAUUAAUUCCAUAAAAACACUGAAAGUACAUACUAUAGAAUGGCUGCCCUAGGAGGAGGAGCGACGAUGCAAGGAGGCGAGGCGACGAAGAAGGGCUUAAAGAACAACGACACAAGAAUGGGCUUUACCCUCAUGCCUAUGAGAAAUCUGAGCAUGCCAACUUAAACUCACCAAAUCUCUAAUACAACACACUAAGGUAGGAGUGCUUUCAUUAAAAUUGACUUUCUACACUAAGGGGAGUGAUUCCUUGAUUUCAAGCAAGCUCCAUGAAUGUUAAAAAAACACAAGAAACGAGGACAAACUUGGUAAUUUAAAGCACAAAAUAAAUAAGUUGAGGAAAGAAGUAAGUCACACAAGGUAGCUACAUCUAGUCCCUUCACUUAGAAGAAUUUUCUCCAAUAAUUCAAAUUGAAUUACAACAUUUAACUUCAACAACUUAUGUCUACUCAACUUCUAGUUUGCACCUACAAACUGUUGAGGAAAACAGUCACUACCGAGCUAAGUUACAAAUGAAUGAGUUUAGGUUUUUUUUGAAAAAAUCUCUCUCAUGAGGUUGUUUAUCUUGUAAUACUUUCAGAUUUUUCUUUCUCAACACUUUGAUAAAUUUUGAAUGAUUGCAUAAUUUUAUAGUGUUGUUGUGUUGCGUGUAGUUUUUGUGUAAAUGUUGUGUGUUGGUUUUUCUUAGUUCACUGCUGCUCAAGUAAGGAAACAUGUUCUUUUUAGUGUUUUUAGGGUAUGACCUUUAUACUUAAGCAGAAGACAACCUAUAUCUUCAUGGAUUUCAGCAAUAAACCGUUAAAGAUAAAUUUAUUCAUUGAGCUCAAGUAAGAUCACAAUCCCAAAAUCACUCUUCGUAACUUGAAUAAAAACAGAGGAAGCAGAGGGUACAUGAUCAGAGGAUAGGAUAAUUAGAGUAUUGUCUUACAAACCAUUAGAGCAUGCAAAUUAUAGAUUAUUAUCAGAGUAUGCGCACGACUUGUCUUCUCAGAGGAUUAACUACCAUCAAAUCACUUACUCUCAUCAAAGCGUUAACUUAUUUAGAGUUGUUGACUUCUUCAGAAACGUUAACUUUUUCAGAACAUUGACUUCUUCAUGAGCGUUAAUUGAAAGUUGACUUUGUUUAGAGGCAUACGAAUC
rnacentral:lncRNA from 1 species